UUAGUACGGCGAGUGAAGCGGUAAAAGCUCAAAUUUGAAAUCUGGUACUUUCAGUGCCCGAGUUGUAAUUUGUAGAAUUUGUCUUUGAUUAGGUCCUUGUCUAUGUUCCUUGGAACAGGACGUCAUAGAGGGUGAGAAUCCCGUUUGGCGAGGAUACCUUUUCUCUGUAAGACUUUUUCGAAGAGUCGAGUUGUUUGGGAAUGCAGCUCAAAGUGGGUGGUAAAUUCCAUCUAAAGCUAAAUAUUGGCGAGAGACCGAUAGCGAACAAGUACAGUGAUGGAAAGAUGAAAAGAACUUUGAAAAGAGAGUGAAAAAGUACGUGAAAUUGUUGAAAGGGAAGGGCAUUUGAUCAGACAUGGUGUUUUUUGCAUGCACUCGCCUCUCGUGGGCUUGGGCCUCUCAAAAAUUUCACUGGGCCAACAUCAAUUCUGGCAGUAGGAUAAAUCAUUAAGAAUGUAGCUACCUCGGUAGUGUUAUAGCUUAUUGGAAUACUGCUAGCUGGGAUUGAGGACUGCGCUUCGGCAAGGAUGUUGGCAUAAUGGUUAAAUGCCGCCCGUCUUGAACCACGGGACCAAUA
rnacentral:rRNA from 1 species